GGGGAAUAUUGGACAAUGGGCGGAAGCCUGGUCCAGCAACGCCGCGUGAGGGAUGACGGCCUUCGGGUUGUAAACCUCUUUCAGUACUGACGAAGCGUGAGUGACGGUAGGUACAGAAGAAGCACCGGCCAACUACGUGCCAGCAGCCGCGGUAAUACGUAGGGUGCGAGCGUUGUCCGGAAUUAUUGGGCGUAAAGGGCUCGUAGGCGGGUUGUCGCGUCGGGAGUGAAAACACCGGGCUUAACUCGGUGCUUGCUUUCGAUACGGGCAGACUAGAGGCAUGCAGGGGAGAACGGAAUUCCUGGUGUAGCGGUGAAAUGCGCAGAUAUCAGGAGGAACACCGGUGGCGAAGGCGGUUCUCUGGGCAUGUCCUGACGCUGAGGAGCGAAAGUGUGGGGAGCGAAC
rnacentral:rRNA from 1 species